rnacentral:rRNA from 1 species
UACGUAGGGUGCGAGCGUUGUCCGGAUUUACUGGGCGUAAAGAGCUCGUAGGCGGUUUGUCACGUCGUCUGUGAAAACCCGAGGCUUAACCUCGGGCCUGCAGGCGAUACGGGCAGACUUGAGUACUGUAGGGGAGACUGGAAUUCCUGUGUAGCGGUGGAAUGCGCAGAUAUCAGGAGGAACACCGGUGGCGAAGGCGGAUCUCUGGGCCAUUACUGACGCUGAGGAGCGAAAGCGUGGGGAGCGAACAGG